rnacentral:rRNA from 1 species
GCCAGACUCCUACGGGAGGCAGCAGUGAGGAAUAUUGGUCAAUGGCCGGAAGGCUGAACCAGCCAUGCCGCGUGAAGGUCAGUGCCCUAUGGGCGUUAAACUUCUUUUGUGCGGGAGCAAUAAUGGUCACGUGUGGCCAGACGAGAGUACCGUACGAAUAAGCAUCGGCUAACUCCGUGCCAGCAGCCGCGGUAAUACGGGGGAUGCAAGCGUUAUCCGGAUUUAUUGGGUUUAGAGGGUGCGUAGGCUGUGAGGUAAGUCAGCGGUGAAAUGCCCCCGCUCAACGGGGUGAAGUGCCAUUGAUACUGCCUUGCUGGAAUGCGGAUGCCGUGGGAGGAAUGUGUGGUGUAGCGGUGAAAUGCAUAGAUAUCACACAGAACACCGAUUGCGAAGGCAUCUGACGAAUCGGAGAUUGACGCUGAUGCACGAAAGCGUGGGUAUCGAACAGGAUUAGAUACCCUGGUAU